AGACGUCGCCUCCCUUCUAUCCCUUGCUGCUCAUCUCUCUCCGUCUCCUCAGCUCACUUUGCCGGCAGCCAGGUUUGUUAGCCGAGCCCCUUCAAUUGGUGUGCUCGACGUUUCACACAGUUUCCUAGCCGUCCGAUACACAGGCGUCCAGCUCUUCACCAUUCCAUCGCUUAGCUCCUUUCCUCUUGCUCGGACAUUGCAUUUUCCUAGCCCCUCUGCGCCUUGGGUGUCUCGGCGCUGCCAUCAUCACCCUGAUCUACAUCUUGUUGCCCAGCCAUGGCGUCUCUAUUUUCUUAGUUGUUCCAUGCCGGUGUCCGUGCUUGCAUUUGCCACAGCCGGCGUCAUCAACUUCCUGGUGCCCGACCCUGCUGUCCAAGCUCUACAGAUGUGGGGAGACUUGCUUGGUGCUUGCUUCCCGGCCACCAUGGGUAUCUCGCCGUCGACGUAUAGCCUGCAGCUGCUCGGACAAACUUCUCUGCUUCGGCGUGCUUACCUAGAACCGCCACCGGAGUGGAAUCCUAGGAAUUUGGGUGAAGAAAGUCGUGUGGCAUUUGUCAGAUACUCGACGAAUGGCUUGAACCCGGAGUUCGUCGUUGUUUCUCAUCCACGGUCUCAUCAGCCCCUGCUCGACAAGUGUUCGUUGAAGGGCCUGAGCCAAGUGUUAUUGCUGCUUCCACGGAUUUCUAAUCAAAUUGGUAUAAUACUCUAGCUCGUUACUCCUAAUUAAUUCAGUGAAUAGAUUAGAUGGAUAUUAAUCACAACGUUUGAAUCAGAUACUUGUGAUGUGCUGUAGUGCUUAUCUGUAUUUCAUUGCGUAUGUUUGUUGUUUGGUUAUUUCUCUACAGGGUAGGAUAUUGUGUUUCGCCGUCGUACAUAGACCUAUUAGGUGCUCGAGAAAACGUCUGAAUUAGAAAUCGUUGCUAUUACCCUGGGUGUCGAAUUAAAUAUGGUCGUGAUGAGCUGUGUCGUUUUUGUUGCUAUUAGAAUUGAUGAAUGGUUCGAUUUUAUAUAUUAUCGCGAUGAUUCUCUUAUUUACAGCACAGAUGCGCGGUGGUGAUUAUCUCCUGAUCCUUUACAAUUAUUCGGGUGAUACUCCAUAGCGACAUUCAGAAUAGAAGUUAUUUCUUCUUUUCUCUCUUACGUUGUUCAUUUACGAUAUAGACGUGAAUGAGUGUGUGUCGUUUUUAAAUAAAUUGGAAGUGAGUAAUGUUAGCGAGCCGAUUUCAGUCAAAAUACAAGAAACCUCAUAGUAGAAGAGGUAUAAGUGCUUUAAAUAUCUAGAUUAUUGAGGAUGUAGUUUCACCAGGCUAUAUUCCUUUUGAUAAUGUCUUAUCUAUUAGACUUAAGAUUAACGUGCUGAUUUGCUUAGUUGGCAUACUAUUCAG
rnacentral:misc_RNA from 1 species